GGUGAGCUAGAUGAAAGAAACAGAGAGGCGUACCAAGAAAUAGAAAGAAAGAGAAAGACGACGGGAAGAGUGGACAAAACAGAAUGGGAAGGUUUAAGAGAAACAUCAGACAUGGGUGGUCAAAGAACAUGUGCAAUGAACUUCUAUAAUUACAUUUUGAUAUAGAUACAGAUGCACAGAAUAAAACAACCUACCUUAUUUAUGGACAACUACCAAACGGUAUGAACUAACAAUAGUUGAAUAACUAACUUAGGUAUGAAGAGGUUGGAUAAACAUGAAAUUCACAACAUAUGUCAAUAAAUCUCUUCCAGAGGUGCAGACAUCCUAUCACUAAGAAAGAAGUUUAUGUCUGUAUCCAAAGUAGUAGAAAAAAAAUAC
rnacentral:lncRNA from 1 species